GACGAACGCUGGCGGCGUGCUUAACACAUGCAAGUCGAACGGUAAGGCCCUUCGGGGUACACGAGUGGCGAACGGGUGAGUAACACGUGGGUGAUCUGCCCUGCACUUCGGGAUAAGCCUGGGAAACUGGGUCUAAUACCGGAUAGGACCCUGGGAUGCAUGUCCUGGGGUGGAAAGCUUUUGCGGUGUGGGAUGGGCCCGCGGAGCCUAUCAGCUUGUUGGUGGGGGGAUGGCCUACCAAGGCGACGACGGGUAGCCGGCCUGAGAGGGUGACCGGCCACACGGGGACUGGGAUACGGCCCAGACUCCUACGGGAGGCAGCAGUGGGGAAUAUUGCACAAUGGGCGCAAGCCUGAUGCAGCGACGCCGCGUGAGGGAUGACGGCCUUCGGGUUGUAAACCUCUUUCAGCACCGACGAAGCGCAAGUGACGGUAGGUGCAGAAGAAGGACCGGCCAACUACGUGCCAGCCGCCGCCGUAA
rnacentral:rRNA from 1 species